rnacentral:rRNA from 1 species
GACGAACGCUGGCGGCGUGCUUAACACGUGCAAGUCGAGCGGAAAGGCUCCUUCGGGGGUACUCGAGCGGCGAACGGGUGAGUGACACGUGAGUAAUCUGCCCUUGGCUUCGGGAUAGCCACCGGAAACGGUGAUUAAUACCGGAUACGACACAUCACUGCAUGGUGCGUGUGUGGAAAGUUUUUUCGGCCAGGGAUGUGCUCGCGGCCUAUCAGCUUGUUGGUGGGGUAAUGGCCUACCAAGGCUUCGACGGGUAGCCGGCCUGAGAGGGUGACCGGCCACACUGGGACUGAGACACGGCCCAGACUCCUACGGGAGGCAGCAGUGGGGAAUAUUGGACAAUGGGCGGAAGCCUGAUCCAGCAACGCCGCGUGAGGGAUGACGGCCUUCGGGUUGUAAACCUCUUUCAGCACAGACGAAGCGCAAGUGACGGUAUGUGCAGAAGAAGGACCGGCCAACUACGUGCCAGCAGCCGCGGUAAUACGUAGGGUCCGAGCGUUGUCCGGAAUUAUUGGGCGUAAAGGGCUCGUAGGCGGUUUGUCGCGUCGGGAGUGAAAACACCGGGCUUAACUCGGUGCUUGCUUUCGAUACGGGCAGACUAGAGGCAUUCAGGGGAGAACGGAAUUCCUGGUGUAGCGGUGAAAUGCGCAGAUAUCAGGAGGACACCGGUGGCGAAGCGGUUCUCUGGAAUGUCCUGACGCUGAGGAGCGAA